rnacentral:rRNA from 1 species
CCUACGGGAGGCAGCAGUGAGGAAUAUUGGUCAAUGGGCGAGAGCCUGAACCAGCCAAGUCGCGUGAGGAUGACUGCCCUUCGGGUUGUAAACUUCUUUUAUAAAGGAAUAAAGUGAGGCACUGGUGCCUUUUUGUCUGUACUUUAUGAAUAAGGAUCGGCUAACUCCGUGCCAGCAGCCGCGGUAAUACGGGGGAUCCGAGCGUUAUCCGGAUUUAUUGGGUUUAAAGGGAGCGUAGAUGGGUUGUUAAGUCAGUUGUGAAAGUUUGCGGCUCAACCGUAAAAUUGCAAUUGAUACUGGCAGCCUUGAGUACAGUUGAGGUAGGCGGAAUUCGUGGUGUAGCGGUGAAAUGCUUAGAUAUCACGAAGAACUCCGAUUGCGAAGGCAGCCUACUAAACUGCAACUGACAUUGAUGCUCGAAAGUGUGGGUAUCAAACAGGAUUAGAUACCCUGGUAGUC